GGCGAACGCUGGCGGCGUGCUUAACACAUGCAAGUCGAACGAUAAAAGAGGAGCUUGCUCCUCUGGAUUAGUGGCGCACGGGUGUGUCACACGUGAGCAAUCUGCCCCUGACUCCGGUAUAACUACGGGACACUGUCGCUAAUACCGGAUAUGCGCCGAACAGGCGUUUGUAUCGGUGGGAAAGAAUUUCGGUCAGGGAUGAGCUCGCGCACUAUCAGCUUGUUGGUGCGGUAACGGCUCACAAAGGCGACGACGGGUAGCCGGCCUGAGAGGGUGACCGGCCACAUGGGGACUGAGCGACGGACAAGACUCCGACGGGAGGCAGCAGUGGGGAAUAUUGCACAAGGGGCGGAAGCCUGAUGCAGCAACGCCGCGUGAGGGAUGACGGCCUUCGGGUUGUAAACCUCUUUUAGCAGGGAAGAAGCGAAAGUGACGGUACCUGCAGAAAAAGCGCCGGCUAACUACGUG
rnacentral:rRNA from 1 species